UACGUAGGGGGCAAGCGUUGUCCGGAAUUAUUGGGCGUAAAGAGCUCGUAGGCGGUUUGUUGCGUCGGCCGUGAAAACCUGCAGCUUAACUGUGGGCCUGCGGCCGAUACGGGCAGACUUGAGUUCGGUAGGGGAGACUGGAAUUCCUGGUGUAGCGGUGAAAUGCGUAGAGAUCAGGCGGAACACCCGUGGCGAAGGCGGCCGGCUGGGCCGUCCCUGACGCUGAGGCGCGAAGGCGUGGGGAGCGAACAAG
rnacentral:rRNA from 1 species